UAAAACACGUUAAGUACUCGAGUCAAAGAGAGAGAAAGCUACAUACAUAACAGGAACACGUGGUAUCAUUAUAGGCUUUUUUAUGUAAACAUCCACAAAUAUUAAAUAUCAGAUAUCACAAAAACUUGAUGUGAUGUGGCAAAUCUAAGCAUAUAUUCGGAAUCAACACUCUAAAUUCUAUAAGAAACCGUUGUCAAAGUCCAUAAAAGAAAACAAAAAAAAUUGGUUGACCAGUGUAAUAUAUGGAGGAAUUACUCCGAUGUCGAUCCUCAAUUCUUCUUUGAUCCCAACGUGGACAUAAGCUACAACAGCCAUUAUACGAUAUUAAAACGAAGGAUGGAAGAAAUAGAAAAAAGAAGAAUACUUCUUAGGAAGAAGAGAAGGCGCCACUCUUCUUUUUCUGAAAGUUGCCCCCUACUAGUGGGGCGAAGUGGCAACUUCUACUUUUUUGCAUUUCUUGGUAUUGUUCCAGUAAUAAUUGAAGAGUAAUUCAAAUCUAUUUUAAUAAAUAUCCUACCAUUAUAUGGUUAUAUUGAAAUAUGUAAUAACAACUAUUAAUGACGAAAUCAAAUAAUAUAAAAAUUAAGUCAUUCUAUUCCACUUGCAAGAAUGGAGAAUCAUCACAUUUACCUCUCAACAAGGAUGUUACCUCAAAGGAAUCUUCACUCCCUGGAGUAGUUGGGGAUCUUCUGUAACAUAUAUCGUUUUAGUCUGUGGGAAAUGAAUAAAAGUGAAUUAUGUCCUUGCAUAAUAUUGAUAGCUAAUGAUUGAGAACGGCUCUAUGCUACAAUAAUCUCUUGUGCAGUGUAUUUAAAUUGAUAAUUUAAGUUUCUCUGGUAUAUUUUUAAUCAUUUAUUAACGAUCGAUGCCUCACUUAUACUCAACAUCUAAAUGUUGGAUCCAGUAGAUUUCAAUUAUUCAAAGUACUUGUUUCCUCAUAAAAGUCUGAAGUUGAUAAAGUAGCUUAGAUGAAAAUAAAACGGAAAAUUUUGAU
rnacentral:lncRNA from 1 species